CUUUUUUUUCCUUUCAAAACUCUCCCAUUUCUUCCGUCUUCUCACUUUUCUUUCCAAAGUUGAUCACUUCCAUUUCGGAUUUUGGAAUCUGUCCUAGCGGCGGUAAGUAGAUUGCUCGGAUCUGGUACUUGAUGGAGACUUGAGGAAUUAAUUGGAAGUGAAAUGGAUUGAAUACGCAUGAGUUGGAGCCGAAAAAGAAGAAAAAUGGACAAGUGCCGAAUUCUAGCAUCCAGACGCGCUACCUGUGGCACUAGAAACAGAAGAUUAAAAUUUUCGGCAUCCAAGCUAGUGCGAUGUGUUGUCCAGGGUGCCCAAUCCCGAGAAUUGUCCUAUUUCGACUUAGAGAAGAUCUUUUUGGGCCCUACACGUCCCAACUCGUAUAAAAAGGGAUUCUUAACCAAAUUUAGAGGGGAUCUAGCAUACUUUGAAGGAGAACACGCCACUUUAGAGGGGAGAAUGCAAAUCACGCUUG